AUGAUUACGAAUGGUUGCCUUCUGUGCUGGCCAGAACUGGCAAGUGCACGUCGGUGGCUUUCAUCCAAUACCCUGUGAACCUUUGGCCUUUGCUAGCUUCGGCCGGCAGAGGAAUUUACACACACUCGAAUGUAAUGAAAUAUAUUGUCGUGCGCAAGCACUAAUGUA
rnacentral:misc_RNA from 1 species